AAAUUGAAGAGUUUGAUCAUGGCUCAGAUUGAACGCUGGCGGCAGGCCUAACACAUGCAAGUCGAACGGUAACAGGAAACAGCUUGCUGUUUCGCUGACGAGUGGCGGACGGGUGAGUAAUGUCUGGGAAACUGCCUGAUGGAGGGGGAUAACUACUGGAAACGGUAGCUAAUACCGCAUAAUGUCGCAAGACCAAAGAGGGGGACCUUCGGGCCUCUUGCCAUCGGAUGUGCCCAGAUGGGAUUAGCUAGUAGGUGGGGUAACGGCUCACCUAGGCGACGAUCCCUAGCUGGUCUGAGAGGAUGACCAGCCACACUGGAACUGAGACACGGUCCAGACUCCUACGGGAGGCAGCAGUGGGGAAUAUUGCACAAUGGGCGCAAGCCUGAUGCAGCCAUGCCGCGUGUAUGAAGAAGGCCUUCGGGUUGUAAAGUACUUUCAGCGGGGAGGAAGGGAGUAAAGUUAAUACCUUUGCUCAUUGACGUUACCCCGCAGAAGAAGCACCGGCUAACUCCGUGCCAGCAGCCGCGGUAAUACGGAGGGUGCAAGCGUUAAUCGGAAUUACUGGGCGUAAAGCGCACGCAGGCGGUUUGUUAAGUCAGAUGUGAAAUCCCCGGGCUCAACCUGGGAACUGCAUCUGAUACUGGCAAGCUUGAGUCUCGUAGAGGGGGGUAGAAUUCCAGGUGUAGCGGUGAAAUGCGUAGAGAUCUGGAGGAAUACCGGUGGCGAAGGCGGCCCCCUGGACGAAGACUGACGCUCAGGUGCGAAAGCGUGGGGAGCAAACAGGAUUAGAUACCCUGGUAGUCCACGCCGUAAACGAUGUCGACUUGGAGGUUGUGCCCUUGAGGCGUGGCUUCCGGAGCUAACGCGUUAAGUCGACCGCCUGGGGAGUACGGCCGCAAGGUUAAAACUCAAAUGAAUUGACGGGGGCCCGCACAAGCGGUGGAGCAUGUGGUUUAAUUCGAUGCAACGCGAAGAACCUUACCUGGUCUUGACAUCCACAGAACUUUCCAGAGAUGGAUUGGUGCCUUCGGGAACUGUGAGACAGGUGCUGCAUGGCUGUCGUCAGCUCGUGUUGUGAAAUGUUGGGUUAAGUCCCGCAACGAGCGCAACCCUUAUCCUUUGUUGCCAGCGGUCCGGCCGGGAACUCAAAGGAGACUGCCAGUGAUAAACUGGAGGAAGGUGGGGAUGACGUCAAGUCAUCAUGGCCCUUACGACCAGGGCUACACACGUGCUACAAUGGCGCAUACAAAGAGAAGCGACCUCGCGAGAGCAAGCGGACCUCAUAAAGUGCGUCGUAGUCCGGAUUGGAGUCUGCAACUCGACUCCAUGAAGUCGGAAUCGCUAGUAAUCGUGGAUCAGAAUGCCACGGUGAAUACGUUCCCGGGCCUUGUACACACCGCCCGUCACACCAUGGGAGUGGGUUGCAAAAGAAGUAGGUAGCUUAACCUUCGGGAGGGCGCUUACCACUUUGUGAUUCAUGACUGGGGUGAAGUCGUAACAAGGUAACCGUAGGGGAACCUGCGGUUGGAUCACCUCCUUA
rnacentral:rRNA from 1 species